rnacentral:rRNA from 1 species
GAUAAACGCUGGCGGCGCACAUAAGACAUGCAAGUCGAACGGACUUAACCAUUAGUUUACUAUUGGAGCGGUUAGUGGCGGACUGGUGAGUAACACGUAAGCAACCUGCCUAUCAGAGGGGAACAACAGUUAGAAAUGACUGCUAAUACCGCAUAUGCCUUAAUUACCACAUGGUAAUAGAGGGAAAGGAGCAAUCCGCUGAUAGAUGGGCUUGCGUCUGAUUAGAUAGUUGGUAAGGUAACGGCUUACCAAGUCGACGAUCAGUAGCCGGACUGAGAGGUUGAACGGCCACAUUGGGACUGAGAUACGGCCCAG